AAAGGCAGAAGAAAAAGAGAAGGGAGAAAGAAGGAGAGAGAAGAAAGGAAGGCAAGGAGGAGAAGGAGGAGAAGGAGAGCUUGAGCAAGGGAAAGGGAAGCAUCCCCACUCACCUACACUAAAUCAAAGAACCGUCAACCGGUGAGGCUAUGCAACGCGAGGUUAUCAAUAGUACACGGCUCAUAGAGACGAAAGAUGUUGAUUCAAGUAUUUCCUCCGAUGUCAUUGUGGAGACUCUAACACUGCUUGGAGAUGAGUUGCGGGAAGAAGAGCUAGUAGAGCACGAGCAAAGUUAUAUUUGUGAUGACAGUGCCUACGGGGCACUCUGAGGAUGAUAGAUGUCACUCUUACCUUUUGAUUCUUUUUUGUAUAUAUUUGAUGUAAUGCUGUAGAUAGUAUAUGUAAUUAUGUUUUGAUAGGAAUUCACAUUCUUAUUGUGUAAAUACGAUACUUAUC